GCCCAGACUCCUACGGGAGGCAGCAGUGAGGAAUAUUGGUCAAUGGCCGAGAGGCUGAACCAGCCAAGUCGCGUGAGGGAAGAAUGUCCUAUGGAUUGUAAACCUCUUUUGUCAGGGAGCAAAGGGCGCCACGUGUGGCGUUUUGCGAGUACCUGAAGAAAAAGCAUCGGCUAACUCCGUGCCAGCAGCCGCGGUAAUACGGAGGAUGCGAGCGUUAUCCGGAUUUAUUGGGUUUAAAGGGUGCGCAGGCGGAAUGUCAAGUCAGCGGUAAAAUUUCGGGGCUCAACCCCGUCCGGUCGUUGAAACUGGGGGCCUUGAGUGGGCGAGAAGAAGGCGGAAUGCGUGGUGUAGCGGUGAAAUGCAUAGAUAUCACGCAGAACCCCGAUUGCGAAGGCAGCCUUCCGGCGCCCUACUGACGCUGAGGCACGAAAGUGCGGGGAUCGAACAGGAUUAGAUACCCCCGUA
rnacentral:rRNA from 1 species